ACUUAAAUUGAAGAGUUUGAUCAUGGCUCAGAUUGAACGCUGGCGGCAGGCCUAACACAUGCAAGUCGAGCGGUAGCACAGAGAGCUUGCUCUCGGGUGACGAGCGGCGGACGGGUGAGUAAUGUCUGGGAAACUGCCUGAUGGAGGGGGAUAACUACUGGAAACGGUAGCUAAUACCGCAUAAUGUCGCAAGACCAAAGUGGGGGACCUUCGGGCCUCAUGCCAUCAGAUGUGCCCAGAUGGGAUUAGCUAGUAGGUGGGGUAACGGCUCACCUAGGCGACGAUCCCUAGCUGGUCUGAGAGGAUGACCAGCCACACUGGAACUGAGACACGGUCCAGACUCCUACGGGAGGCAGCAGUGGGGAAUAUUGCACAAUGGGCGCAAGCCUGAUGCAGCCAUGCCGCGUGUG
rnacentral:rRNA from 1 species